rnacentral:rRNA from 1 species
AUUGAACGCUGGCGGCAGGCCUAACACAUGCAAGUCGAGCGGAUGAAGGGAGCUUGCUCCUGGAUUCAGCGGCGGACGGGUGAGUAAUGCCUAGGAAUCUGCCUGGUAGUGGGGGAUAACGUCCGGAAACGGGCGCUAAUACCGCAUACGUCCUGAGGGAGAAAGUGGGGGAUCUUCGGACCUCACGCUAUCAGAUGAGCCUAGGUCGGAUUAGCUAGUUGGUGGGGUAAAGGCCUACCAAGGCGACGAUCCGUAACUGGUCUGAGAGGAUGAUCAGUCACACUGGAACUGAGAAACGGUCCGAACCCCUACGGGGGGCAGCAUGGGGGAAUUUUGGACAAUGGGCGAAAGCCUGACCCAGCCAUGCCGGGUGGGUGAAGAAGGUCUUCGGAUUGUAAAGCACUUUAAGUUGGGGGGAAGGGCAGUAAGUUAAUACCUUGCUUUUUUGACGUUACCAACAAAAUAAGCACCGGCAAACUUCGG